GAGGGUAUAGCUCAGUGGUAGAGUGCAUGCCUGGUGUGCAUAAGGUCCUGGGUUCAAUCCCCAGUGCCUCUG
rnacentral:tRNA from 1 species